AGUGCCCCUUGCCCUCUCCACACCCGAACGCCCCGUGCCUUCUCCCACCCGCCGGAGCCCUCUCCACACCCGAGCACCCCCCGCCCUCUCCCACCUGCCGGUGCCCCCCCCUCCCCUCUCUUCCACUAUGGCGGAUCUAGAGGAUCUUGGAAGAGCUCGAGGAUGUGGUGGACCCUAUGGCCCGGCGUCCUCACGGGGACUCCCUCUCUCUCUCUCCAUCCAGGAGACGGCCGGUGCUGGGCGACGAGGCUGGACGAACGACGGCGGGGGCGGCACGACGCGACAAGGACGAGUGGUGCGACGUGGCCAGACCAGAUGCACAGAGGUCGGGCGACAUCGAUUUGACGGUGCCAUGCAUGGUUGCUGCAGCUGACACCGAGUGAAAACAUGAGGAUCAUCAUGUUCUUUAGGAAGUUUUUGCAGUGGGCAGAUGGAUCAGAGGAGAAAGGCGUCAUAACCUGAUGCCACUUGCUAGCUGAGAAUGUGUCUCCUUUCUUUUUUUUCAUCUGUUUCUUUUAUUUUAUCUUGAAGAACAGGAGGGCAAUGCUAUCUUAGUCUUCUAUUCCUUUUGCUACUUCAUUCUUUUCGUUUGGUUGUGGUCAGUUUACUUUUGUAUGUAAUUGUACUGCUUUUAUAUGUAAUUGUAGUGGGUUAUUAUAUAUUGCAAUCACAUGUGCUUGACUGUUUGUUC